rnacentral:misc_RNA from 1 species
GUUGGUGAACCAGCGGAGGGAUCAUUACAGGAUCGCAAGACCCUAUAACCCCUGUGAACUUACUACAAAUACGUUGCUUCGGCGGGUGCCCCGGGUCUCCCCGGGGCGCUACGCCCGCCGGCAGCCUACAAAUUCUGUUUCUCUGCGUUGGCAUCUCGAGUAUACCAAAUAAGUUAAAACUUUCAACAACGGAUCUCUUGGUUCUGGCAUCGAUGAAGAACGCAGCAUCUGACUGACUUCAGUACGAGGC